rnacentral:rRNA from 1 species
AGUGAACGCUGGCGGUAGGCCUAACACAUGCAAGUCGAACGGCAGCACAGUAAGAGCUUGCUCUUACGGGUGGCGAGUGGCGGACGGGUGAGGAAUACAUCGGAAUCUACUUUUUCGUGGGGGAUAACGUAGGGAAACUUACGCUAAUACCGCAUACGACCUACGGGUGAAAGCAGGGGAUCUUCGUACCUUGCGCGACUGAAUGAGCCGAUGUCGGAUUAGCUAGUUGGCGGGGUAAAGGCCCACCAAGGCGACGAUCCGUAGCUGGUCUGAGAGGAUGAUCAGCCACACUGGAACUGAGACACGGUCCAGACUCCUACGGGAGGCAGCAGUGGGGAAUAUUGGACAAUGGGCGCAAGCCUGAUCCAGCCAUACCGCGUGGGUGAAGAAGGCCUUCGGGUUGUAAAGCCCUUUUGUUGGGAAAGAAAAGCAGCAGGUUAAUACCCCGCUGUUCUGACGGUACCCAAAGAAUAAGCACCGGCUAACUUCGUG